AUUGAACGCUGGCGGCAGGCCUAACACAUGCAAGUCGAACGAGUGGCGGACUGGUGAGUAAUGUCUGGGAAACUGCCUGAUGGAGGGGGAUAACUACUGGCAACGGUAGCUCAUACCGCAUACCAUCAGAUGUGCCUCGAUGGGAUUAGCUUGUUGGGGGGGUAACGGCUCACCAAGGCGACGAUCCCUAGCUGGUCUGAGAGGAUGACUAGCAACAAGGGAACGGAGACACGGUCCAGACUCCUACGGGAGGCAGCAGUGGGGAAUAUUGCACAAUGGGCGCAAGCCUGAUGCAGCCAUGCCGCGUGUAUGAAGAAGGCCGUAGGGUUGGAAAGUACGUUCAGCGGGGAGGCGUUACCCGCAGAAGAAGCACCGGCUAACUCCGUGCCAGCAGCCGCGGUAAUAC
rnacentral:rRNA from 1 species